UGCUUCCAGGGAUGACAGUAGCAUGGUUA
rnacentral:piRNA from 1 species